GCCAUACAAUUGCUUAUCAUAACCCAGGACUCAAACUCACCCUUUGACCCCAAGGGUAAGCUAUAAUCUUGCUAAGAUGUCGGUGAUAUAAAAUAAAGGCACCAACGUGACUUUGACAUAAGACACAUUUUACUGUAAGGAAAAACUGAUUCAAAUGGAGAAUUUAUUUGCAAACAUACAGAAAAUUAUAAGAAGUAUCCAAACAUAUUCAUAAAAAAACAAGUAUCAAUAAAAUGCUGUCCAUACAACAACAACUGUAUAUCUGAGUGUGUGUGUAUGAGAGAGAGAGAGAGAGAGAGAGAGAGAGAGAGAGAGAGAGAGAGAUGUGUCUUUAUGCAUGUCCAUUGUUAGAGAUGUGUCUUUAUGCAUGUCCAUUGUUAUAUGUGCAUCAGUCCUCAGAUUCUCUUCCAGCAGGCUCCCUGUUUUAGGAUAAAAAAAAAAAGAAGAUUAGAGCAGUACAAGCAUCAGUCUCUCUCGAUAGCAUUUACUUUUUCUUUUUGAAUUUCAGGAUUAGCUGUUUUUAGUUGUAUGGUCUUUGUAGGAAUGGCCACUCGAAUGUGGCAUCGACGAUCGAUUAUGAAACCAUGAUCGUGUGGGUUUAUUUAUUUUUUGUGGUUAUGGCAGCAUUUGGUUAGCAUUACAACUUUUAAAUAUUAAUUAUGAUGAACUAUGCAUGUGCAUAAUGAAACACCUGUUCUUGUCGCAGGUCCUGGCAUAUACAGGUAGAUACAACAAUAAAAUGCUCACUACUGUUUCACCAUGCGAGAAUGCAUGAGAAAAGUCAGGAAUCGAUCAAAAGAAUCAAAAUGCGUGCAUCGUAACGAAUCCCCGGUUCUUUAAAGUUUUAAUCGGUUCUAAAAUGAAACUGAUUCUUCAUACCCAACCCUAGACUCUGUCUUUGUUCACCAGUGGUCCCUUUUUUCCCUGUGACGGAGCAUGUUGUCAUUUUUUCUAAGGUGGAAAUGGAGUCCAUCACAGUUCUGAGUAACAUAAGUGUAUGGAAUUGAAACGACAUAAGGGUUGAUGAUGACAAGGUGAUGACACAAAGGAGCUUCCAUUGCCUUUAUUGCAACUAGGACUGACAAUAAUGUCUGCAAACCCUUCUCCAAAUAUUAAGUCUUAUUCUAUUACAACAUUGCCACCUGCCAGC